rnacentral:lncRNA from 1 species
GGUUCUUGCAAGAAAAAAAGCUAUUAAACAUGAGUAUCAACAUUUUACACAGUAAUUUCAUACGAAUUUCGAUUGAAAAUUCAAUAACAAAUGAGUAUCAACGUUGGACGGCGCGACUAAUUAACGGCGGCGGCGCAACUAAUUGACGGCGGCGGUGCGGUGAAGUCAACCAUUGAGUUGUGGAAUGGGAAGAAGAGAUGUGAGUGUACUGAUAGAGAGGAAAG